AUUGAACGCUGGCGGCAGGCCUAACACAUGCAAGUCGAGCGGCAGCACGGGUACUUGUACCUGGUGGCGAGCGGCGGACGGGUGAGUAAUGCCUAGGAAUCUGCCUGGUAGUGGGGGAUAACGCUCGGAAACGGACGCUAAUACCGCAUACGUCCUACGGGAGAGAGCAGGGGACCUUCGGGCCUUGCGCUAUCAGAUGAGCCUAGGUCGGAUUAGCUAGUUGGUGAGGAAUGGCUCACCAAGGCGACGAUCCGUAACUGGUCUGAGAGGAUGAUCAGUCACACUGGAACUGAGACACGGUCCAGACUCCUACGGGAGGCAGCAGUGGGGAAUAUUGGACAAUGGGCGAAAGCCUGAUCCAGCCAUGCCGCGUGUGUGAAGAAGGUCUUCGGAUUGUAAAGCACUUUAAGUUGGGAGGAAGGGCAUUUACCUAAUACGUAAGUGUUUUGACGUUACCGACAGAAUAAGCACCGGCUAACUCUGUGCC
rnacentral:rRNA from 1 species